rnacentral:tRNA from 1 species
GGACAUUGAAAUUGCUUGAAUCCCGCUGACUCUUAAUCAGCGGGUCCUAGGUUCGAGCCCUAGUGCGUCCACCA